rnacentral:rRNA from 1 species
CCUACGGGAGGCAGCAGUGGGGAAUCUUCCGCAAUGGGCGAAAGCCUGACGGAGCAACGCCGCGUGAUCGAAUGAAGGCCUUCGGGUUGUAAAGAUCUGUUGACAGGGACGAAUAAGCAAUGCGUAUAGUUUUGUGUAUGGCGGUUCCUGUUUAGAAAGCUCCGGCUAACUACGUGCCAGCAGCCGCGGUAAUACGGAGGGAGCAAGCGUUGUCCGGAAUUACUGGGCGUAAAGGCCGCGUAGGUGGGAGGUUACGUCAGGUGUGAAAAUUCCGGGCUCAACCUGGGGACUGCACUUGAAACUGGGGGUCUUGAGGGCAGGAGAGGAAAGUGGAAUUCCUAGUGUAGCGGUGAAAUGCGUAGAUAUUAGGAGGAACACCAGUGGCGAAGGCGACUUGCUGGACUGUACCUGACGCUGAGGCGCGAAAGCGUGGGUAGCGAACGGGAUUAGAUACCCGUGUAGUC